CCUACGGGAGGCAGCAGUGAGGAAUAUUGGUCAAUGGCCGGAAGGCUGAACCAGCCAAGCCGCGUGAAGGACGAAGGUGCAAAGCAUUGUAAACUUCUUUUGUCAAGGGACAAAAUCAGGCACUAGUGCCUGAAUGAGGGUACCUGAAGAAAAAGCAUCGGCUAACUCCGUGCCAGCAGCCGCGGUAAUACGGAGGAUGCGAGCGUUAUCCGGAUUUAUUGGGUUUAAAGGGUGCGUAGGCGGACUGUUAAGUCAGCGGUAAAAGCCCGGGGCUAAACCCCGGCGAGCCGUUUAAACUGGCUGGCUGGAGAUGGAGAGAGGUAUGCGGAAUGCGCGGUGUAGCGGUGAAAUGCUUAGAUAUUGCGCAGAACCCCGAUUGCGAAGGCAGCGUACCGGCUGCAAACUGACGCUGAGGCACGAAAGCGUGGGUAUCGAACAGGAUUAGAUACCCGAGUAGUC
rnacentral:rRNA from 1 species